AUUGCUUCUCUGCCUUUUGGCUCAGAUUAGUGUAGGAUCUGUUCUUAACAGCUUAAAAUGGUGAUGAUGAUGGUGUCAUUUUAAUACAGUUGUGCCCAAACAUUUUACCAAAGAUUAUUAUAUAAAUAUUCAUGUUCAAACUGUUAUAACAGUGUGUCAUGUAUUUUGGAGAAGGCAAUGGCCACCCACUCCAGGACUCUU
ensembl:snRNA U2 U2 spliceosomal RNA